rnacentral:tRNA from 1 species
GGGGUUGUGGCUCAGCGGUAAAGCACUUGCCUAGCAUGUGCGAGUCCCUGAGUUCGAUCCUCAGCACCCAUA